rnacentral:pre_miRNA from 1 species
UGAUGAUAAUGAUGCUGAUGAUGACAAUGAUGAUGAUGGUGAUGACGGUGGCGGUGAUGACGAUCAUCAUCAUCAUCAUCAUCAUCAUCAUCAUCAGCAUCA